rnacentral:ribozyme from 14 species
ACCCUUAUAAAAAGAAAGAAAGAAAGAAAGAAAGAUAAAGAAAGAGUGCGCUAUGACCAAAAGAACUUUUA